UAUUGGCGAAGAUACAAUUGGCGGGAACGAAACCCUUUGUUACGAGAUCAGAAUUUAGUAUACGAAUUUCACAGAAUAAACGAUACUCCCACAUGCUCGCACAUUUGUAAACCAAGCAAGAACUUACAAUUCGUUGUGUUAUCAAAUACCUUUCGAUUUCGUAUAAAUCAUAACCUUCCAUUCAGAACAAAUUUCGUUUCACUUUUCUAUCCGCUGAAGUUAGGACUAAGUGUCCUCAAAAUAAAGAGGGAGAGAGAAGAAGAGAAAAAUUUUAUCCGAACAGCGGUGCCAUAUGAUUGAAUCGACCAAAACAGCAACAGCUGUCGUAAUUUUACGCUCGAAACCUCUUACCGGUAACGACGGUACCAAAAUGACUGGCGUUGUACAAACGUUAAAAAUCUCGUUGUACCAGACCAAUUUACAGAUAACGUGUAUAUACGAUUGAGUAAAAAGCAAAAUUGGAUCGAACAGCGUGUGUUUUUACAAGGGAAAAUUCAAGUAUCGAGUGCGGCUCGCGACGAGGGUAAUUAAUGUCGGAAAAUUAAGCCGAAAGGGAUGGAAUCGGUUCAACGAUCGGAGAACGCGAUCAUUAGAGGUGGUGCACGAGGUGGGUGUAACCGAGAAAAGGGCGCGGUGGUAAUGGCAAGGAGGAAAAUAAAUUCGUGGGGACAGUUGCAACCCUAUGGGUCACACGUUCACAGCCUUCGGAUGUGGGAUAAGUUACAGGCGCAGUGGUAGAAAGUCGGUUUAUACAGAUCACGUACGGCCUGGAAUGGACGGAUAAAGUUUUGGGAUUCACUUUCCAUUCUCAACGAAUGGUAAAUGGGGAAUUCAGAAUGGAUAGAUGGUACUCGUUAAGCGAAAAGAAGUCAGAAAAUUAGUACUUCCAAAUAAAAAUAAUCAAAUACCCAUGCAUCGAACUAGUUCAAGGUCCGUGAGAUUGAAAGGCGAAUCUCUUCCUUCACGGUGUUUUUCCUUGAAACCAACAGGCAGAAGUCCCUUAUUCUACAAGUUGAAAACAAGACCAUUACGAAGGCGAGAUCAUCUUUUUUCAUGAGCCAGCCAAGUUGGAUUCUGAGGAUGUAUUUUGCGACGUUCUUGUUUCACAAGCUUCUCGUCGCAGUUAAAAUAGCGAGAACGUUCUGAGAAAAACGCGGGAAACUUAAGGUGUCUGUGUAGCAGAACAUUUAUUCGCCUUUGUCGUAUUUUCUUUCAUGUCCAAGAAAGAACUGCAGAAAACAUAAUGCCGUCAAAGGAUUGUAUAGAACAGAGGUGUACUGAUAUUUUCGAGUAAACGCUACAAAUGUACUUCAACUUCGUAUAUUAAUGGUAAAGUCGAUUCUUCGGUAGAAAUAGAGAAACAGGUUUGUCUAUUACAAUUUACAUUAAAAGCAAUAUAUAAAAAAUUGACACGGCAUAGUUUUCCGAGAAGAUUUCUUCGGAGGCGUAGUUAUAAUCGUAUUUUUAAUAUUACGCAUAAAUAUUCCGAUCGCGAUCAUUCUCAAACGUUUCCAAGGCAUUUAGCUAAUGCUGUAGUAUUUUUCAGAAGCUUUUAAGCGUUCCCAAAAGUAUCGUUUUUACGAGCGUUUUGAAAAUAGAUGAGUCUGAAUAUUAAUGCAAAGUAUCCUUAAUAUUUCAACAAGUGAGUGCACGAUAAGACCUGUCUGAAAGACAAGACAUUGUGCAAUAAUCUAACAUAAGAGGAAGAAAACAAGACAACUUUUACAAAAAGUGAAAAUUACAGGUCCGAACUCCAGUGUCUGAUCUUCCUAUUUUCUAGACUAUAUGCUUCCGUAUAAUUAUGAAAUGAUGUACUUACAUUAGACCGUUUUUGCUCUUCACUUUUCACGAUUAAGCACACUAUUAUUUGCUAGUAACCACGCCAAGUAGUCCUGUUAUCAUGGAUUUCCAUACCAUAAAUAUUUCAUUAUCCAGAAGUUCAGCCCGAAUACAUUUAAACUUAUACAAAGUGGAGCAUAGUUAAUUCGUAUUCAUUGAAUAUAUCGUUACUAUAACUUUAAUUACAACUUCAAUUUGUUCGGUAUAAUGGAACUGUAAUUAGAAUACGCAGAGGUAUAAAUUAUUCAAGAUUCUUUAGCAUAUCAGUAACGAUAUAAUCAAGGGAUUAAAACGUUCAUAGUGUUCACUCGAAGUACAGGUACUUUACCUAAAUCAAUACUAUAUCUUCCACAAUUGAACAAAUAUCAUUAGGAAGUAGAUUUAGAAUAAUGAUGAAUCAAUUGCAAGAUAAAGGUGGAACUUGUUAACUGAUUGCAUCAUAAAGAAGCCUAAAUUAUUCCACAUUACAAUAUCAUCGAUCUUAAAAUAUUGGAUUAUCCGGAAAGUUCGUCCCGAUUUUUAAGGAAUUUGAUCGACACGAAAGAUCAUAUUGAAAAUUUAUUCGCCGAAAAACCUGAGACGUUCUGGAAGAAUGGAGUAUUCAAGUUGCGUGAUAGAUGGAGAAAGGUUGUAAAACAAAAUGGUGCCUAUAUAAUUUAAUAAAUGUGUAUCGAAUCGAAAUGUAAAUCGGAAAGAAACAUAGUAUAGAGAUGAUAGUGUAUAUCUUUCUUUUAUGAAUGAAACGCGCUUUGAUCUGUACAUCCAAAACUGCCUUCAAUUUCAAAGGUGGUCGGAUUAGCAACACAAUCGAUGUUUCUAUAAGCUACUGCACGCCUCCGUUUAAUUACGUUAAUGAGUAGGAGAUUAUUAUGAUUAUCUUGUAUUUUCUCUAGUGGAAAGCAACGCGCGCGAUCGGUUUGCGAGGUCACAUUUAGCUGUGAGGCAAACUCAUUGUCAGAUAAGCUAACCGACCCUGAGGGAAUGUUCUAAAAUAUAUCGCAGACAUCGACGGUAACGAUGUAAGUUCCUCUUACUUGAGGGCAACUGUUGGUGUGUCGGUAAACGUACACAACCAAAGAAACUAGAUAGUCGUUGGUAUUGCUGGCGAAGCUUUGAAACUCGGCUAAUCUUCGGACUAAGUAUUGUCCUACCGCAGAAAGGGAACGUUUCUUCGGCAAUAAGGUUUUACUGGCAUUAUGUUGCGUUACAAGCAUUCAAUUUCACGGUAUCUUGGAAAUGCGCCUGAUUAAUUGUAAUAGUUCCAGAUUUUAUAUUCUCGUUAAUGAAAAUGUGCUUAUAAUUUUUAUAUAAUUGUUUCAAUGGAGCUUUUUUUCUGGAGACUUUCCAUCUCGUCGAUAGUAUUCUUUUUGAGUUUCGUUAAAUAUUUUUGAUUCGUAUAAAAUUCAGAUUCGGUGAGAUCAGUAGAAAACGGUUAGCGUACAAGGAGCUUGUCUAAAUAUGUUUUGUAAUCAUUAUUGUAUCUCACGAGAUUUUUGCAUGUACGUGAACAGUUAUGUUGCUUUUAUUCUCGCUGAACUUCCUUGCGCGAUUCUUCGAAACUGCUUCAUCACCUUACUUAUUUUUCGAACACAAUUUACAAUCGAUUGAUCUUAGUAACGCAACGAAGUGAAGAAGGAUAAAUUCGAGGAGAACACGUCCUCCGGUAUCGAAAGAAUGGCAAAAAUAAUUUCUGGAGCAAUUAAAAAUGAUUAGGAAGAAUGUAGGAAUGAACGAUGCUUAUGGUGUAUCCCGCGCCUUUCUUCGUAAUCGUUGGGGUAUAAAAAAAAUUGGAGGUCGAAUCACGGUCGCAAUUGUAAUGGUCCUAUGGAAGAAGGUCACAAGGCGAAAGGAAGAACAAAGGGACGCUGCAAAAACGGGAGCCGCUGUCGGACACGGGAAACGAUAAACGGCAAAACAGGCGCAGCGAAACAAUGCGCAGGGCAUAUUUAGCCGUGCCGUUGUACAUUAUUUAGGUGCCAGUACGCGCCAUUUGUAUUCCCGCGCACGCGUGUGCUACGAAAAUUCGCGAUAUUUCCUUCCACCCUGCAUCCCCUCGACCAGAAGAAACCGAUGCCUCGUUUCCAUAUUGCUGCGAUCACGUCCACGUUUUCGGAAAUGAAAAGUUUCCUGAUCGUGGUGGACACCCCUUAAAUUUGCCAUUCGAUCUUCGAUCGCGAGGAAAAUGGCUCGUUUAAUGAAACAAAGGAAAUGUUGCUAAAAUUACGAGCGUUGAAAAUUCAUCUGUGAAGUUCCGUUUUCGAUGAUUUAUAGAGAAAAGUAGAAGAAAGAAUGCGGUGUUUAUUUUCACAUUUGAAUGGGAAGAUUUGAAAUGAAGACUUGUGAAGUUUAAGAGCGUCAUUUUAGAUCUCGAGAAUGUCCCUUGUGCGAAGUGAUUGAAUUUUGACGAUGUAUGAGAUCGUUCAUUCGUGAAGCGUAACAAUAUAUCGCAAAUACGCCUUUACUAGGCCAUUUGCGAGAUAUUUCUUAGCCAUUUUAUGUAACGUAUGAUAUUUGAUAGAAUUUUACGCGAAAACGUUAUGUUUCAAAAAUGUUGUCAUUGUCUGUUGAAUUGUAAAUUAACUAGAAUUUAAAAUUAAUUCAAACUGUCUGAUACAGAACGAGAAGAAGCUACAAAGAGUUAAACUACGUGUCAAAACUAAAUAUGUAAUAGACACGAAUGUCUAGCGAUAUAAAC